CUCCUACGGGAGGCUGCAGUGGGGAAUAUUGCACAAUGGGCGGAAGCCUGAUGCAGCAACGCCGCGUGAGGGAUGACGGCCUUCGGGUUGUAAACCUCUUUUAGCAGGGAAGAAGCGUGAGUGACGGUACCUGCAGAAAAAGCGCCGGCUAACUACGUGCCAGCAGCCGCGGUAAUACGUAGGGCGCAAGCGUUAUCCGGAAUUAUUGGGCGUAAAGAGCUCGUAGGCGGUUUGUCGCGUCUGCUGUGAAAUCCCGAGGCUCAACCUCGGGUCUGCAGUGGGUACGGGCAGACUAGAGUGCGGUAGGGGAGAUUGGAAUUCCUGGUGUAGCGGUGGAAUGCGCAGAUAUCAGGAGGAACACCGAUGGCGAAGGCAGAUCUCUGGGCCGUAACUGACGCUGAGGAGCGAAAGGGUGGGGAGCAAACAGGCUUAGAUACCCUGGUAGUCCACCCCGUAAACGUUGGGAACUAGUUGUGGGGUCCUUUCCACGGAUUCCGUGACGCAGCUAACGCAUUAA
rnacentral:rRNA from 1 species